rnacentral:rRNA from 1 species
UACAGAGGCCUCGAGCGUUGCGCGGAAUCACUGGGCUUAAAGGGUGCGUAGGCGGAUGUGUAAGUGCCUUGUGAAAUCCCAUGGCUCAACCAUGGAACUGCUUGGUAGACUGCACGUCUUGAGGUCGGUAGAGGUCGCUGGAACGGUUGGUGGAGCGGUGAAAUGCGUAGAUAUCAACCGGAACGCCAAAGGUGAAGACAAGCGACUGGGCCGAUUCUGACGCUGAGGCACGAAAGCGUGGGGAUCAAACGGG